rnacentral:lncRNA from 1 species
ACCAGCUCGCGUCCCUCCCCGGCCAGGGCCACCGCCGUCCGAGCGCCCGCGAGGGCUGGCGCCCCAUUCCCGGCGCAACGAGUGUUGCGCAACGGCCCACGCGGCCGACACGACCGGAGCGAGCCUGCGGAGGAGCCCGGGAGCCCCCCGUCCCACCGCCCCGUCCGCUCUUGGCUCCCUUCACCCUCCCGGUCGCCGCGGUGGCUCUGCGCUCCCCGCGACCCUCACUUGCUCGCAGAGGCGCUUUUUGUCUUCCUGAGAGCCGCAGCCUGCUGGGCUACCUGUUGCCGACUGAGCACUGCGGGUUGCGGCUACCCGGGCGUGGCCCGGACCUCGGCCUCCCCUUC